UUGUUUGUUGUUUACAUGUUCAGCCGACGUUCAAGACGAAUGCGCACAGGCGUUACGGUUCUUCAUUAAGGAUUUAUCUCUGGAAGACUGAAAGCAAGGCAUUAAGGUUGACCUGCAGUGAUUAAAGCAAAAUGCGCACGGGACUUAGGGGUUCUUUUAGAAGUGGAAGAACCACUCAUAGUUUCAUGGUCACAGCCAAACCAGGACUUGACAUGACCCUGGAAUUAAUACAGCUCAUUGCAGAGGAAACCAACUAGUUUAAGGAGAUAGAAGGGGGCCAUUGGAAGACAUAAUUGAAAGUAAGUACCUUGUUU
rnacentral:lncRNA from 1 species